AGCACUUGUUUAUGUCUUUGUUUAAUUUGUAACAAAGACUUACAGACAGGCGCAAACAGUAAAUCUUUUUCAAUUCAGAACUCAUUGUUGAGUAUGAGUUUUGAUCCCCGUCCAAUGGAAUAUA